GACGAACGCUGGCGGCGUGCUUAACACAUGCAAGUCGAACGGAAAGGCCCUGCUUUUGUGGGGUGCUCGAGUGGCGAACGGGUGAGUAACACGUGAGUAACCUGCCCUUGACUUUGGGAUAACUUCAGGAAACUGGGGCUAAUACCGGAUAGGAGCUCCUGCUGCAUGGUGGGGGUUGGAAAGUUUCGGCGGUUGGGGAUGGACUCGCGGCUUAUCAGCUUGUUGGUGGGGUAGUGGCUUACCAAGGCUUUGACGGGUAGCCGGCCUGAGAGGGUGACCGGCCACAUUGGGACUGAGAUAGGCCCCGGAGUCCUACGGGGCGCAGCAGUGGGGGAUGUGGCGAGAGGGGCGGAAGCCUGAUACAACGACGCCGCGUGCGGGAUGACGGCGUUCGGGUUGUAAACCGCUUUCGCCUGUGACGAGGCGUGAGUGACGGUAGUGGGUAAAGAAGCGCCGGCUAACUACGUG
rnacentral:rRNA from 1 species